CUAUGAGUUUGAUCAUGGCUCAGAUUGAACGCUGGCGGUAUGCAUAACACAUGCAAGUCGAACGGUAGCAGGCUCGGGAAACCGAGUGCUGACGAGUGGCGGACGGGUGAGUAAUGCGUAGGGAUUUGCCUAGUAGAGGGGGAUAACCUGGGGAAACUCAGGCUAAUACCGCAUAUGCCUAAGGGUGAAAGAGGGGGACCGUAAAAGGCCUCUUGCUACUGGAUGAACCUGCGUAGGAUUAGCUAGUUGGUAGGGUAAAGGCCUACCAAGGCGAAGAUCCUUAACUGGUCUGAGAGGACGACCAGUCACACUGGGACUGAGACACGGCCCAGACUCCUACGGGAGGCAGCAGUGGGGAAUAUUGGACAAUGGGCGCAAGCCUGAUCCAG
rnacentral:rRNA from 1 species